rnacentral:rRNA from 1 species
UACGUAGGGUGCGAGCGUUAAUCGGAAUUACUGGGCGUAAAGCGUGCGCAGGCGGUUUUGUAAGCCAGAUGUGAAAUCCCCGGGCUUAAACUGGGAAUGGCAUUUGGGACUGCAAGGCUGGAGUGCGGCAGAGGAGACUGGAAUUCCUGGUGUAGCAGUGAAAUGCGUAGAUAUCAGGAGGAAUACCGAUGGCGAAGGCAGGUCUCUGGACAGUGCCUGACGCUGAGGCACGAAGGUCAGGGGAGCAAACGGG